GACGAACGCUGGCGGCGUGCCUAAUACAUGCAAGUCGAGCGAAGUUUUUCUGGUGCUUGCACUAGAAAAACUUAGCGGCGAACGGGUGAGUAACACGUAAAGAACCUGCCUCAUAGACUGGGACAACUAUUGGAAACGAUAGCUAAUACCGGAUAACAGUAUUUCUCGCAUGAGAGAUAUUUAAAAGUUGGUUAUGCUAACACUAUGAGAUGGCUUUGCGGUGCAUUAGCUAGUUGGUGGGGUAAAGGCCCACCAAGGCGACGAUGCAUAGCCGACCUGAGAGGGUGAUCGGCCACACUGGGACUGAGACACGGCCCAGACUCCUACGGGAGGCAGCAGUAGGGAAUCUUCCGCAAUGGGCGAAAGCCUGACGGAGCAACGCCGCGUGAGUGAAGAAGGAUUUCGGUUCGUAAAGCUCUGUUGUUAGGGAAGAAUGGAUAUGUAGUAACUAUACAUGUAAGAGACGGUACCUAACCAGAAAGCCACGGCUAACUACGUGC
rnacentral:rRNA from 1 species